rnacentral:rRNA from 1 species
GGGCCCGCACAAGCGGUGGAGCAUGUGGUUUAAUUCGAUGAUACGCGAGGAACCUUACCAGGGCUUAAAUGUAGGAUGCAUUAGCUAGAGAUAGCUAUUUCUUCGGACUUCUUACAAGGUGCUGCAUGGUUGUCGUCAGCUCGUGCCGUGAGGUGUCAGGUUAAGUCCUAUAACGAGCGCAACCCCUGUCGUUAGUUGCCAGCAUGUAAAGAUGGGAACUCUAGCGAAACUGCCGGUGCAAACCGUGAGGAAGGUGGGGAUGACGUCAAAUCAUCACGGCCCUUACGUUCUGGGCUACACACGUGCUACAAUGGCCGGUACAGAAAGCAGCCACUAUGCGAAUAGGAGCUAAUCUUUAAAACCGGUCUCAGUUCGGAUCGCAGUCUGCAACUCGACUGCGUGAAGCUGGAAUCGCUAGUAA